AUGGUCUCUUUUUGGUUACUGUUGCUUGGAAGAAAUAAACAUUUUUCCCAAACCCACAGGAAGCUUCUCCAUGAGGAAUCCAGGGCUAGCCUGAAUAUGUUGCUGAGGGACACCAUGGUGUUACAGUAUAAGUGGCUGUACAACUUAACAACAGAAGCCAAGCUGAUGAGAGAAUGUCAUGGGUCACAGCUUGGGCAUUGAUGGAGAUUAAGCAUGUCGUAGAUUAGCUCAAAGUCGUCCAAGAGCCAGGAGUGCCUGCUGUGGAAACUACAACCCUUCCAUAAAAAUGUGGCACUACCACUUGUUUGCUUCCAGGAGUUCUUUAUCAACAGCCCUGGUCUAAUGUACUUAUCAAGACUACCACACAUUAGAAAAAUAGCCAUCAGACCAUGGCUGAACUACCAUGGUAUUUGCCCAGAGGGUUCUUUCAUGCAUCGUAUACAAAGUUUAAAUAAAAGUCUAAGACAGGAUGCACAUUGUUCACAACCUUUUCUGAAAUUUCUGCUAACUGUUUGAAAAGUGACAACAACAUGAUUACUUCUACACCAGCCCAUCUUUCUAACCCCAAAGGCACAAUUUGCAUGAGUUAUCUUUACAGAAUAGGCUUGAAGAGAAGCAUUCCCAGGCCGCUGAUAUAUUCAGGACAAAAUAUCCUUGCAGUUCCUGAAAUGCAGAAGGCAAGUUACUGUCUGCUUUAGAUCUUGUCUUCAAAAUCUUGUAUUUCCCUUUCAUUUGCAAUCCAUUCCCACCGGAAAGCACUGAGGGGAUGAACUUUGUGCAAAAGUUGACUUUCUGUCAUGACAGUGCAUGUGGUUCCUGUACCUUCCCUAAAGUUGAUCCAUCCAGAACAAAGAAGCACUUGAUUUCUCGGAAAGACCAGUCCAGUAAAAGAAGGCAUGUCUGGCAGAAACAUGAUGAAAAAGUUGAUUCUAUGAAUUUCGGGAUGUUUCUAAUAUAGUCAACUAUCAAAGAAACAUUAAAAUACAGUAAGUAUAUCUAUAAAUAAUGCAACAUA
rnacentral:lncRNA from 1 species